CCCAUCUCCUCUUCCUCCAUCGUGUCUCUCUCUGUGAAAACAUUUUUCUAAUGGUUUUCUAGAGGCCCUAACCAUCCAAAAAUUCCUUUAUGUAUAAAUAUAAGUAUAAAUCUUCCCUAGCUUGCUAAUACAGUGUCUUUGCCCACAAGAAAUGGUAUGCCAUUAGGGCUACAUUGCUUUCUCAAUGGGUAGCUUUUUCCUUUGACGAAUAUCUCAGUACUCAGUAAAUUAUAUGUAUAUAAUUCUCUUCCUAUUUUUACGCUAUCGAUGUUAACUUUGCUGUGCUUCAAACACCAGCACGCAUGCAUGUGAUUGCAUAUUGUCUGUGAUGAGCUAAUAGAGUCCGUUGAAUUUAUUAUUGUCCAUGUGGGUGGUGAAUUGCUUGAGGGUUACCGAAGGGGCUCACUUCAGUCCAGUCCGAGGCGGUGAAGACGGCUGAGACUCAGCUGCUGACUCGUUGGUUCAAGAGCUCACCAUCAAGGUAAAUGUCGGUCCAUGGUCCAUGUAACAAUAAAGGUGGUGUGCUUCUGAUACAACGAUGCGGGAGCUGCAUCCAGUCGUGACUGUCACGUCUUGGACUGAAGGGGCCUCUUCAGCUCCUCUAUCUAUUGAGCUCCUGUUAAUUUUCUGCCAAAUUCAUAUUUUGUUGAUGGCAGUUCAUUCUUGAUAUGCUCCUGUAAAUUUCUGCCAAAAUAUUUUGUUGAAUGCAGUUCGUUCUGGACGAAAAUAUUUGGAAAUACUAUAAUAAACAAAAUCUUAUUAGAUAAGGUCAUCUAUAUGGUAAAACAAGUUUUGGUCGCUUAACCUUUCUACUUUCUAUGAUGUAAUAGAUUGACAUGAGAUCCUUACUGUGAUGAACUGAACUAUUUUAACUAAGCAUGGUCUUGAUCCGUUAACAAGCUAUUUUCUUUAAGAGACUUUGGAAAUAGUGGUCAUCUACGACGAAAGUACUGGCAAGGCUCCUAGUGGAUCUACAUUGGCCGCUUGGCCACUGGUUUGUCAACUUCUGAUAAUGCUCAGAUGCUUCUGAAAGGGAAAAACUUCCUUUGAAGGAUUUGGUAGGCGAAGCAGUAUGUGACAUUUCAUGGAUCACUAGAUAUGUGAUAUAUUUGGAAGUUUAAUUACUUUAGUCUUAAUUCAGUGACAUGCAAAUUGAAUUUGUAAAAGGGUAUAUAUAUGGUUGUGUGGGAGAUCUAUUUACCCAAUAUUUGUUCUAAAGAGAGACUUGAAAAAUAAUCAAAUGCAGGAGUUGGUGAUGAAAUAUUCCAAGAAACAUACAAUUUUGGUAGCAGUAUCGGGCACAAUGCUAUUUGUAGAACUGAAAGUCCAUUGGAUUAAUAUAUAUGAAAGUGGACGUGUUGAGGUACUUUUAUUUACCAAGUCCAACAAUUGUCCAAGUUUAUUGAAUUUGUAGACGUAAAGCUAUUUUUGUUUAUGCUAAACAAUUGUGUAUCUUCAUUAUUAGAUUCCUGUUGUUGUAAAGUUGAAUUACAUUAAAUUUGAAGUGAUUGGUAGUGAAUGUUACUUACAGUUUGUACACUCAUUUUUUUUAUAUGGAGCAGAAGUGGAAGAGCAGAUGGAAUGGUUGAAGAUGGAAUCCGAAUCAGUUCCCGUGAAGAUCGUACUCAUUAUGAAGGAUUGAAUGACUGAUAAGGAGAAGUGAAGUUUGUAAAUAUAUUGAAUUAAUGAGAUAGAAUAUGAAAAGAGCAUAGUUUUCAUUGAUGCUGUAUUAUGUAGUCUUUAGUUUUGUUUGUAUCUCUAUAGGUUGAAUAAUUUUAAGCUGUGUUCUUGAAAGUGUUGC
rnacentral:sRNA from 1 species